ACGAACGCUGGCGGCGUGCUUAACACAUGCCAGUCGAACGCUGAAGCUUGGUGCUUGCACUGGGUGGAUGAGUGGCGAACGGGUGAGUAAUACGUGAGUAACCUGCCCUUGACUCUGGGAUAAGCCUGGGAAACUGGGUCUAAUACUGGAUAUGACAUGCCACUGCAUGGUGGUGUGUGGAAAGGGUUUUACUGGUUUUGGAUGGGCUCACGGCCUAUCAGCUUGUUGGUGGGGUAAUGGCCUACCAAGGCGACGACGGGUAGCCGGCCUGAGAGGGUGACCGGCCACACUGGGACUGAGACACGGCCCAGACUCCUACGGGAGGCAGCAGUGGGGAAUAUUGCACAAUGGGCGGAAGCCUGAUGCAGCGACGCCGCGUGAGGGAUGACGGCCUUCGGGUUGUAAACCUCUUUCAGCACGGAAGAAGCGAGAGUGACGGUACGUGCAGAAGAAGCGCCGGCUAACUACGU
rnacentral:rRNA from 1 species